UACGAAGGGUGCUAGCGUUGUUCGGAAUCACUGGGCGUAAAGCGCGCGUAGGCGGCGCAGCAAGUCAGGGGUGAAAUCCCAGAGCUUAACUCUGGAAUUGCCUUUGAAACUGCUGCGCUAGAGUGUCGGAGGGGAUGGCGGAAUUGCUAAUGUAGAGGUGAAAUUCGUAGAUAUUAGCAGGAACACCGGUGGCGAAGGCGGCCAUCUGGACGACAACUGACGCUGAGGCGCGAAAGCGUGGGGAUCAAACAGG
rnacentral:rRNA from 1 species